UUGUCUCGUGAAGGGCGAUGGAGGGGGUAGCAGGGCCAAGGUGGAGCUGCGCAAGGGAGUAGGCGAGAUCGCCGAUAUGCUGUUAGGAUCCAGCUACUAGUUUCACUCAAUCACCAUGGUUUGGCUACAAAUCUAAAAUUACAGGAGGAGGAAGCAGAGGAAGGAAGGAGACGCUACAGAGAGGGAGUUCGCCAGCCAGGCCGAAGCCUUCCGUCCAAGCCGAGUCACUCGUUGCCAUCUCCACCAUAUUUGUAGUCGCUGCUUUCCAUGGCUUUUGUGCAGGCCCAAAGCCCAAGAGCAUCCCACCGUGCAGUCCAGGUAGUAGUGCAGGGAAGGUCGCUGACAUUCCCUCCCCCAUAAGAUUCGGCUUGCCCUCAAGCCGACUCAAUGUUGAGCCACCAGGAUCCCAUGACGCUUGUACAACAAACUGAACACUAUCAAGAAUCAUCUCACCUGGAUCCCAUGUUCGCUGCGGAGGCUGUUGAACAACGAGGCACACCGAAAAAUACCUGUCAGUCCUGGAAUGAAGACACACUUGUACUGCCCAUACACCACUAGUAAUAAUUGCCAAGUUACCAGGGUCCCAAGAAAGCAACACUAACAAGAAAAGACUGUUUCCAGUUUGCAAUGCAUAUCUUCUUGAGCAAACAACAGUUGCAAUUACUGCAAGUCCAUCCAUGCACAAAACAUGUUCUGUUGGCAAAGUCAGGAUCCAUAAGAAGAGCUCCCAAGGAGGCCAUGGCUGGGCCCAAGGUACCACUGAUUUGAGUUGCACAACUGCGUCCAGCAUAAUCACACGGAGAUCACCUCUAGAAGCAUAUUCAGCAGGGCAAUCCUCACACAGCAAAACAGAGGUUUCCCGAGUGAAAAACCAUGCAAUUUUCCACUGAAGAUGUUCAGAACCAGAAGAGACUGAGUUCAGCUUCCUCGCCUCGGGUGAUGCAAAGCCAUGGGGUUUGUCGUCUACAGCUGAACCCACUAAUGAAAAGGGCCAGGCAAUCCUCCAUUGGAUCUGUUCAUGAUCACGAAAGGAAUUAUAGGGACUUCUCAUCUCCAGAUCAGUCAAUAAGCACAACCUAUUAGCUUGAUCAAUAGCUGUCCCAAUAUAAGAAAACCCAUCUUCUUGGUCAGUAGCUCUGAAGAGACAGGAAACCCCACCAUUUUGUCUAAUUAGAGUCAUCAUGCUUGUAAAACUAAGGAGCAGAAACUGAUGGACGGUUUCACCAAAUAUGUGCAAAAACGACUGAUACAUUCCAAUGGCAAAUAGCUCAUGACACAAACUCCUCGUCUCAACAAAAUCUUGGGAGUAAAUUUUAGCACCGGAGCUAAACCGAAGCAAGUAAAAACUGAUAAUAGAGCAAUGCAAGAAUCUGUACAACCUGUAGAUCUUCUCACCAUUUGACUGUGGCCAAAAUGCAACGACUGAAAGGACCUUGAUGAACAGGCAAGCAAUUUCCAAUGUAGAUCGAAGUUGCCUAUGCCACUGACAUUGAUUAGAACCCAAAGAAGACCAAGCAAUCUUCCAUUGAUCCCUCGUGCAGAUGUACUUCAGCUGAGAUACAAUGGUUAGCAGUGCAAGUGCUUCAAAAUUCAGACCCAAUUUUUCACUGACAUCAAGAAAGCACGUGACCCAUGCUACUCCAAGACUUGUUACUAGUUCACUAUGUCUUGGAAAAAUAUUUAGCUUUAAGUUUGUAUAUGAGGAAAUAAGCCCCAUCUCCUCGUAGCUAAUCAUUCCCGUGAUUGAUGGAUGAGAAUACUCCAUGUACAUCACUCUCUUCCGCAGCAGUAUUCUCUGGUCAGAACAAGAUGGAAACUGAGGCCAAGCAUUCCAUAGCUCUAGCAAUACAAUGAGAACAUCUCGAGCACAGAUGAUUGCACUUGAAUCAAUUUCUCGCUGUCCAGGAUCCCACGACAAUGUGAAGAACCCAUAACCUAUAAAAGACUGAGAUACGAUCCUGAUAGUGAGCAAGGCUGUUGAUUAGUCUCUUUCACGGCUGCCAGCAAUUCAUCACCGCUCCUCUGCGAUUCAUUUUUGAACUGGGCUAGCCACACUUCCUGUUGUAAUAGGAGAUACGGGCUGAUGAAGUACUUGAGCCACACCACGCUAGUGUCACCUCCCAAGCAGUUCAACAAGCAUGAGGUCCUCGAUGGAGUGCACUGCACCAACUCCAUGCCCUCAGCAACGAUUUUGUAUGAGGAAUGUUGACUGACCUCAUCUGGAUAUGAACGAAGACCACAUCUCUGCUGAAAAUCAUCCUCGUCUAAAUCCUCCUGGUAUGAAACUAGCUUUGAAGAUACCUUCUCGUCAGUUUUUCCAUCUGAUUGUUCACUAAACUUGCUAGUCCCUGGAUCCCAAGGCAAACCCGAGUUGACAAGUAGAUAAUCUCUGAUCAGAGAAGUAAUACCCAUUUCUUCUGCUUGCCCUUUAGUGAUGUCGAUGCUGCCAUUGAUGGGGAACAAUGCAAACACAACCCAGGGGGUGGCGGUCAUUGCAAGGGUCGACGCAAAGGGAACCGGCACCAACGUAGGCACACUCCAAGGGACCGGGAACGCCACCAUGGGGUUAUCCUUGUUGUUGUCGUGGUUGAGUCCAGGCACAUGAGCGACAUUGUUGACUAUCAUGGAUGAAGGUGGUGUUGUGGACGAGGUGAGCGCCGACUCCUCAGCCGUGGCGCGGCUUGGACAUCCCAUCGAACAGAUGGUGGGCGUCGGAGCAGCGUCGCUGGUGUCGUCCACUUCGAGCCCCUUGUCGCUCACAAUGAACUCCAGGGCGACGCUGUCAGCAGUCACGGAUGGAGUUGGUGGCGUAGGCGCGGCGAGCUCGGACGGAGUGGCGCCGAUGGUGCUCAUGGACGCCUCGACUUGGAGGUCAUCGGUGGAUGUAGCGGGCGCCUCAUCAUGGCGCUCGACCGCGGCCAACGCUGCAGCCCACUCCACGUAGGGAGUGUCGUCGUAGAAGUACGAGGGUGACAUGCCGUCUUCAUCCGGCAUGGUGAUGGUGGUGUAGACCGUCUGGAUGAGGUCGACAGCAAGGAUGCAGCAGCCAUCAUACAUAGCAUGGUCAUCGAGAGCAGCUCGAGCUCGGGCCGCCCUCCAUCGAGACCGGUACUCGACGUACACCUCCACACCGUACAUCCCAUCCACCAUCCGCUCGUAGGCGCAGAUCACAUAUCCAUCACCGGAGCGACGAAACAACUGGCGAAUCGAGUCGACGGUGACCGCUUGGCGAACGUCGCUGAUCCGGGCGUGAAGAACACCCUCGGGGCAGGCGAAUUUGUGGCUGGGCAUUUUGUCGAACAGGUUGCAAGCGGAGGAUGGAGAACAAAAUUUUGGUAGAUUUUUUGAGGAAUUUGGAGGAGGAUCGAACGGCUCUUAUACCAAUUGUUAGGGUCCAGCUACUAGUUUCACUCAAUCACCAUGGUUUGGCUACAAAUCUAGAAUUACAGGAGGAGGAAGCAGAGGAAGGAAGGAGACGGAGGAGGAAGAACACGCUACAGAGAGGGAGUUCGCCAGCCAGGCCGAAGCCUUCCGUCCAAGCCGAGUCACUCGUUGCCAUCUCCACCAUAUUUGUAGUCGCUGCUUUCCAUGGCUUUUGUGCAGGCCCAAAGCCCAAGAGCAGCCCACCGUGCAGUCCAGGUAGUAGUGCAGGGAAGGUCGCUGACAUAUGCAAGGUGAUGUUACUCUGGGCGUCGGUGCAGUUGAUUUGGGCGUGAAUUUCGUCUCCCGCAACCAGCUUUGAUCCAUCUUUAGUAUGAGAUGCUGGAGACGUUUUCUGCCCCUAGAGCGCCAGCCAGAUGCAUCCUCCACAUCUCCAACAUUCUUCGAAGUUCGACUUGCAGGUCCCCAUUUUUUGUUUUCCUCACUGAGUCAUAUAUUUAUUUAUUUUGUAACCAUUUCCUUUGUUUUUGCCAUUGAACCAACAUAAUGUACUUAAGGAAAUGCCUGUUAAGUGAAAUUGUUUCUUCAUUUUUCCUUGAAAUCUUGCAAAAACAUGUGAUUCCUUUUUUAAGGGUUCUAUAAGUGUUGAAUGAGGUGAUAGUAAUUAGUAAGUGAAAUUAGAAAGAAUGUAAGUGUAUGUCUGCGCAUACAUGAUAACUGAAUCGGCGGACUUGAGAGUUCAUCGAAUUCGGCGGCACUUUUGCCGUCAACAUGCAUGUAGGCGAUGUGCUGGCUUCUAUCCUAUGAAGUGUGAGGUUCAUGGCGGCAUUGCUGCCCCCAAGUUCUGACCCGGAUGCGUCAUUGCUGUCCCAAAGUGAUGCAGUCCAAAAAUUUGCCUUCAUCGUUGACAGAGCCACAGAGGCAGCCCGGCAAGGUCAUUGUAUAUUUUCACCUGCAAGUCCUCCUUCCUCUUACCCCGAUUGAACUAAUAUAAUCAAAUAAGGUAGUGCUUUUUAGCGAUUAACGUUUCAGUUUUAUGGUUUUUAUACCAUUAUGUAUACUGGCUGCUCUUGAUUUUUUUUCAAUUGACUUAUGGUAAAGGUACUAAAUGAUGAUAGUAACUUAUGAAUGCCAAAUACAUCUUUCAGCAUAGUGUUAAUUUGUUUACUCCCCAUCCACCUUUUCCGGGCUUGGGACUGACAUUGGCAGUGUUAGCCCCUCUACCUCUAUUAAUAUUUAACAAACUUAAGAAAUAAUGAGGAUAUUUAUGGUUAGCUAUAGUUUCAAUACAAAUUAAGAUUUAAUCACUAAAUAUGAAAAGCGGUUUGAUUCUGUUGUACAUAUAAAACAUAACAAUGUGUCGAUGAAGUCACAUAAUAUAGAUUAUCCAUGUUUGGUAUUAAUGAACUAUUUCCACCAAACGUUGAUGCAUGUUUGCAAUACUUCGGUACGGUAGUAGACCAUAUAUGUCCUGCCAUAUCAUGUUAGCAUAGCUAAGUCUGUUUUUAGUUUCAGGAUUGUUUGCAAUGCAAGGUAAAUCGGUGGCUCUCUGAAUGGUGGCAAAUCAACAUUUCCCUGUUGGCACCAUAGUCCCAAAGGUGGCAUGCUUUUUGCUCUACCUUAAGUUCUUUCUUCGUACCGAAAAAUUCCACCCCAUCAUUCACACUUGUAUCUUGGUUUUUUGAAGUCCCAAGUGUCCAUACCAUUCCUUUCCAAUGUCCUGUCCAAGUUUCUGAAUUUACCAUCAAUUUUAAUAUUAGUAAUGUCUCGUAUUGUUGAUGCUGAAAAAAGUAUUUGGGGGUUUGUUUCUUUCAUGUACACUUUUUGUUACUUUUUGUAAUGUACACGUACAUAACAUGAAUGAAGUACAUGAAUGUCCAGAUUUUAGAUGUUGAUUGUAUUUUAUUGUUGCUUACCUCAUAGUCUCACCAGUCCGGCUGAUUAGUGCUUCUUUUUUGUCGAUUGUUCUGCAACCCUCUUGCUUUGUAUUUUAUUUUCUAUGUAGUCUUGCCUCUUUAGCUUUGUCUGUUGAGUUAAUUGCCCUCCAUAAACAUAAAUACCAAUUAGUAUAAGUAAGAUAUGGAAUUUCCUUCAUAAGCAAUUUAUUACUCGUGGCAGUGGUCAAUGUACAUGAUGAACAUUUUUACAGGAUAUUGUUCCUUAUGGCAAUGGAACAUUUUUUCCCUCAGUAUUGGUUUAGACAGAGUGCAUGGGUAUGUUUUAUCAUGAUUUUCUUGAAAGCAUACUUCAUGGCUAUAGGUAGAACUAAAUGUAACAUGUUUUUGUGAUUUAAUAGAGCAAUUUAAAUUAGCUGCACUUGAAGAUAUGGAAAUGCAUGGGCGACCGGACUUCAUAACCACUUGUUCAUGGUAAAAUGUGUGGUAUAUGAUUUUAGUACAUCAAAUCCUGAGUUAAUGAAGGAAUAUUUUUGUGGUAAAAAAGAUUGGAGGACAAAGAAGAAGAAUUGAUUUGCAAAGCAUAAGCAAGGUACAUAAUUUGCUUCAUGUAUACUAUACUACCAGGUGUGCAUCAUUAGUGGUAAAAUUUAGAACCAAAUGGAUGAUGAUACGCAUAAGGGUAAAACUUUGUGAAGAUUUUCUUACUUCACGUGGAUCAAAGG
rnacentral:lncRNA from 1 species